UCGAACCUGCCGUCUACUCUUGGACAGCCUUCUGAAAGGAAGAUUAAUACAAGAUGGCAUCAUGAGUCCGCAUGUUCACAUGAUUAAAGGUAUUCCGGUAGACGAUGGGGAUGCGUUCCAUUAGAUAGUAGGCGGGGUAACGGCCCACCUAGUCUUCGAUGGAUAGGGGUUCUGAGAGGAAGGUCCCCCACAUUGGAACUGAGACACGGUCCAA
rnacentral:rRNA from 1 species